UCAACCUUGCCCGUGUUCACCAACACGCCUAAGGACACGCCCGUGUUGGCUGGAUACAAAUGCGAAAGGCCUAGAAGCUUCGGGAAACACGGCCACAGUAGGUAACACGGCUAAUUAUCCCAGACCGUGUUCCCAACACGGCCAUGUUCCCAACACGGCCAGGAACACGGCCAUGUUGGCGGACAGGGGGAAAAAUGCUAUAAAUACCCCUUCUUUGUACCAUUUCGAAAAGAAGGAAGGAAGGGAGUGAAAAAGGGAGAGAAAAGAGAGAAAAAGGGCAGGAGAAAGUGAGUCCAUAAAAAGGAACAAGGGCAGUAAUAAAACAAGAGUGUGUGGGCACAAGGUGUGCCAAAAUGUAGCCAUAUAGCGGGAAAGAGUAUUACUCUACAUAGAGCAAAGAGAGAUGCUCUAUGUAGAGAUAGUUGUAGGAAUAGUUAUGUAAAAAAAAGGAAGGAAGAGAGUGAAAAAGGGAGAGAAAAGAGAGAAAAAGGGCAGGAGAAAGUGAGUCCAUAAAAGGGAACAAGGGCAGUAAUAAAACAAGAGUGUGUGGGCACAAGGUGUGCCAAAAUGUAGCCAUAUAGCGGGAAAGAGUAUUGCUCUACAUAGAGCAAAGAGAGAUGCUCUAUGUAGAGAUAGUUGUAGGAAUAGUUAUGUAA